rnacentral:rRNA from 1 species
AAUUUUGGGCAAUGAACGAAAGUUUGACCCAGCUAAACCAUGUGUGUGAUGAAGAUAAUAAAUUGUAAAGCACUUUAUUUAAAUAAUAUAAUAAUGAUUUAUUUAUAAAAAAGUCCUGGCUAAUUUCGUGCCAGCAGCCGCGGUAAAACGGGAAGGGCAAGCGUUAUUCGGAUUAAUUGGGCGUAAAGCAUAUGUAGGUGGAAAAUUAAAUUCUAACUUAAAGCUUAGGUUUCAUUCUUAAGUAUGUUAUUAAAAUAAUUUUCUAGAGUUUAAAAGAAGAUUAUGGAACUUUAAAUGUAACGGUAAAAUGUUUUGAUAUUUAAAAGAACCUCAAAAGCGUAAGCAAUAAUCUAAAUUAAGACUGACACUGAGAUUAUUAAAGUGUGGGUAGCAAAAGGGAUUAGAUACCCCUGUAGUCCACACCCUG